AGAGUUUGAUCAUGGCUCAGAUUGAACGCUGGCGGCAUGCCUUACACAUGCAAGUCGAACGGCAGCACGGGGGCAACCCUGGUGGCGAGUGGCGAACGGGUGAGUAAUAUAUCGGAACGUGCCCUAGAGUGGGGAAUAACCAGCCGAAAGGUUGGCUAAUACCGCAUACGACCUACGGGUGAAAGCAGGGGAUCGUAAGACCUUGCGCCGAUGGAUGAGCCGAAGCCGGAUUAGCUAGUUGGUAGGGUAACGGCCUACCAAGGCGACGAUCCGUAGCUGGUCUGAGAGGACGACCAGCCACACUGGGACUGAGACACGGCCCAGACUCCUACGGGAGGCAGCAGUGGGGAAUAUUGGACAAUGGGGGCAACCCUGAUCCAGCGACGCCGCGUGUGUGAAGAAGGCCUGCGGGUUGUAAAGCACUUUUAGUGGGGAUGAAAAGUACAGGGCUAAUACCUCUGUAUCUUGACCUAACCCAAAGAAAAAGCACCGGCUAACUCUGUGCCAGCCGCCGCGGUAAUUC
rnacentral:rRNA from 1 species